UCCUUCCUCUCUCCGCCUCCUUCCCCCCCCUCCGAGACUCAGGCGUUUAUAGGUUGGCAAGUAUACGUCAAUGCAAAGGGCGGAGUCAAAGUCGCGGAAGUGCCGGAUGUAACCGCCUUCAAAUCUUGGAUUGGGUUGUCAGGUUAGCCCCGCCCUCCCCAGGUCUUGUGACUGGACUGGUCCGAACUAGGUGUUUGGAGUGAUCUCUUAGGCCACCCGCCUCUUCCUGCUCUUCGUUUAUUGGCCAUCUACUGACGGCGACAGGCGAGGCACUGGGAGGUGGUGCCUGGAGUAAGAGGAGGCGGACCACUGGUAGGCGUUAGGCUGUCCUAGGUGUGCUUCUGUGAUGUGUAGGGUCUGCCUUUUGCCAGUUGGUAUUUUGCGCAAGCGCAGGGCGCUAACGCCUUCUGCCCAUCUUUGGGCGGAUUGGUCAACGGUAGCGUCGGAGCAUACCUAGUCAGCGGUAGGGCGGAGACCAAGCUCUUGUUCCUGCGGGGUUGGAGCGGUGGCCUUCCCUUCCAGUGCUCAACAAUAAUAAACACUUUGCACUCGAGUGCGGAUUACUCUCUCGCAUUAAUUCAUUUGGUAAUGAGUUCCGAGGCAUGAAAUAUGUGGGGGUGCGAGUGCCAUUACAUGCAUGCUGAGACCAGAGGACAACUUUGUGGCGUUUUCAACAUUUUCCUGGGUGUUGGGGAUCGACUUCUGGUUACUAUGCUCAUCAGCUGAGCCACCUCACAGUCCCUGGCUGUUAAUGUGGACGUUUCCUUGACAAACCUUGUUUUCUGGUCUAUAUAGUAAGGUGAUAAAAUUCCCUAAUAGGGCUUAUGCUGGUCAAAUGUCUAUGAUAGGUUGUCCUAAGUGGGUGAUUACAGCAUUUGGGAAGAAUUAAAGACCAUCUUGAUCAAGGCCUUAAUCUGGUCCAAAGCCUUUUACUUUCUAUGAUAUAAAUGAGUUGUGUAUCCUUGGCAUACGUAUCACCCCAUAAAAGAGUUCCCAAGAGUGUUAUCUCUGAAUUGGGGAUGUAGCUCAGAGGUAGUAUAUACAAGAUUCUAGGUUUGAUCCCCCAGCACUGCCAGGAGAGUGGGGUGGGCAAUCUCCAGUGACCACUCCAUUUCCUUUUUUUGCAACCCUUUUUUCUGAUACUGCUCCCCACCUCUACUCCUUGGGUGAACAACAUAAAAACAUCAGCUAGUAUAACUAAUUGAUCUCAAACUCUGCUGGAGACACAAAGGAGUCAGAAACAUAUAUUGAAAACUUUAUAGAAAUAUAGAGAAAAAAAAUACAAUUGAUUCAGAGAUUUCUCCCCUCCCUAAAGGACGGAUGGACAAACAGUUGGAGCUCCUAGAGGUGACAAGGGUGUUCCCUGUCUAUCUCCUCCUCUAGGAGCAAGGCAUCUAGCUCCUUCAGCCGUUCUUGCAGUAGAGAUCCCACAUCCUGGCUGGGUGCCAGGUUGGGAGUAAGGGUUCUGCUGGCUGCAGUGCGGACCCCUCGUGAUGGUCGCCGGGAUCGAGGAAGGCUACUGUCCCGAAACUCUACUGCCCUUCGGAGCUUCCUAGAGCUGGUAAAAAUCAGAGUUCCAUUGCGUUCCUGUGGUUCCUCAAAGAUGGUCUCAAAGGUCCUGGGUCAGGCAGGGAGAAGCGAUCUUUAGCAGGAUUCUCCUCCCUGGUUCAAACAACCCUCUCCUGCCCUCAGACCUUCCAAGUUCCUCACCUUCUGGCUGUGGGUGAUUGGUAAUUCUUAUUGGUAUAAAUUUCUUCCAAUGUGAA